GCCUUCAUGGUGUAGUGGUCAGCACGCUUGACGCGUAACCGAGAGGUCCAUGGUUCGAUUCCCGGAGAAGGCG
rnacentral:tRNA from 1 species